rnacentral:misc_RNA from 1 species
GAUGAAGAACGCAGCGAAAUGAGAUAAGUAGUGUGAAUUGCAGAAUUCAGUGAAUCAUCGAAUCUUUGAACGCACAUUGCGCCUUCUGGUAUUCCGGAAGGCAUGCCUGUUCGAGAGUCAUUAACAACCGUUUCGAUCCCUUUCUUUCAGAAAUUACAAAGAGGAAAAGGGUUUGGUUAUGGUGGAGGAGGGAAAGGGAGCGUUUAGCCUGUAAAAAAAGAGGCUGUGUUCCGCCUCCCCCCCAAAAUUGUACAGGCGGUCGUGUGCGCCCACGCAUCGAGGUGUUGUAAAAGCUGCCACGGCACUUUUCACCUGUGCAGUGCGAGAUUGGCCAGCCGGUUUAAAAACCCCUCCAAACAAUCAAAGGUUGACCUCGGAUCAGGCAGGGAUACCCGCUGAACUUAAGCAUAUCAAUAAGCGGAGGA